CAAUGUUCGCACUAUCGCUGCUGGCAGAAGGUUUCAGGACAUCUUCUUGGACUGAAUGAGGCAAUGCAGAUGGACGGACACCUCCUUGGAGAAUGGCUUUGAGCAAGACUUGUGGGGCAGAGGGGAAAGAUUAAGAUGGGGGUACAAAUGACUAGAUUACACUGUGUGUGUAAAGUUCAAGAUGGAGUUGAGCCCUUCACCUGGGGGUGGAAUAGGGGUCAUGGAAUCCAAUCUUUCUCAGCAUCCCACUACCUGCAGAUGUGUUUGCCCCAUCCCAACAACCAACGGAUUGCUUCUCAAAGUGUGGUCACCAGCCUCAUCAUCAUCAUCAGCUGGAAACUUGUUCAAAAGAGAACUCUGAGGCCUCACUGCAGACCGAGGGAAUGAGAUUCUCUGGGGCAAAGCCUGGCUGUCUAUGAUUUACCAG